rnacentral:rRNA from 1 species
UGAGGAAUAUUGGUCAAUGGGCGGAAGCCUGAACCAGCCAAGUAGCGUGCAGGAUGACGGCCCUACGGGUUGUAAACUGCUUUUAUACGGGAAUAACGCGCCUUACGUGUAGGGCUUUGCAUGUACCGUAUGAAUAAGGACCGGCUAAUUCCGUGCCAGCAGCCGCGGUAAUACGGAAGGUCCGGGCGUUAUCCGGAUUUAUUGGGUUUAAAGGGAGCGUAGGCCGCAUGUCAAGCGUGCUGUGAAAUGUCCGGGCUCAACCCGGGCCUUGCAGCGCGAACUGGCGUGCUUGAGUCCGCGGAAAGCAGGCGGAAUUCGUCGUGUAGCGGUGAAAUGCUUAGAUAUGACGAAGAACCCCGAUUGCGAAGGCAGCUUGCUGCAGCGGAACUGACGCUGAUGC